GAGCGUAUUCAUAAAAUUACAG
rnacentral:miRNA from 15 species